GCCGUCAUAGCACAGUGGUAGUUGCGCCUGCCUAGUAAUUCGAGUCCCCUAUUUCAUUAGGGAUUAUGUAAUUAGUAGUUUAGCAGGAGGUCGAGAGUUCAAGCCUCUCUGAUGGCA
rnacentral:tRNA from 2 species